AAAAAGUCUAGCAAAAUAAAAAUUCUGUAGCGCAUCGAAAACUCUGUUGCACGUCAACAUCGACCAACAAAAAAAAUUCUAGUUCGCAAAAAAGAAGAAGAGGAAACUCCACUACUGAUAUUUGAAGCUCUCAAUUCUCUGCCAAAAGAUUUUUCUGUUUUCAACACUGAAUUAGACAAUUGGCUCGUCGUACCAAGGGUUGGGAAUCUUAUUUACUAAACAUAGAAUUGACGGAAGAACUCGAAGAAGAGUUUGCUUCCUAGAUAAAUUUCAGUGAAAAUAAGAGAGAAGGAAAAUGAAAUUCUGUUUGAUUCAAAGUGAGGUUAAGGUAUGGUUAGAUGGGUUCGCAUUUAAAUGGAGACAAGGGUUUAACUGCGAAGAAAACAGUGAGGAUAUGUAAGGAUUACUGCCGUUGUUUUUAUGUCGAUGCAUGAUGGGUAUGGAUGCCUAAUUGAAUCAGUGAGUAUCUGGGAUUGUGCAUGACAGGUCAGGUCAAGAAAGCUAUGGAUCCAAAUCUACAAAACAAGGUCUUCUUCAACAAUGGGAGGAUGAACUUAUCAUUCAUAUGGAUUGUUUUAACUAAUUUCUUGACACCAGGUUUGGUUCUCUCAAUUAUUCUUUUUCCACUCUGUAGAUUGUAUGUAGUGAUUCUUUUGGAAUUAAUUAUUAAGACUUAGCUUUAUGUUAUAGCCAGCUAACCAUGUAAAGCGAUGGUUGGGAUCUAGCUUAAUUCAUUUGUGGUUUUGGGUUACCAUAGGAAACUUCCCAAUGGAAAAUUGUAUAUUUCUAGUUGGUGUUGUGAAGCAUAAAUGCAUUUUUGUGUGCCCCCUAUAAGAUGGCCUUGAACAUGUGGAAACCUCUCUACCAUGUCGUGCUCCUUUUUAAAGUAGUUUGUUUGAGAUUCAUGUCACACAGACUCUCGCCUAAUUUUAUUUUUACUUCGAAACUGAUGGUAAAAGAGUACAUUGUAGAUUUCUGUAUACUAGCGAUCUUUAGUGGUUGAUGUGUGUGACAAUUUUUUGGUGGUUGUUGUAAGGACUAGUGUAGUUGGGAAUUAUGUGCUAAUAUAACCGGUAGUCUGGUAUUACUCAUUUAAUUCAUGUAAUGCUGUAGCAUGAGGUGUUGUUGGUUUCGUUUGGUUAGCCUGUGAUGUGCUUGAACGGUAUAACAGUAUUAUAGUAGGAUAAUACUAAUGCCUUGCUGCCAGUACGUAUAUCCAUACUGCGUUUCAUUUUUAUGUGUAGUGUUGACUUGACACAGCAUUUCUAUUUAGCCUAUACGUCGGUUAUCUACAUUUGUAACUGUGGUAAUACGGCUUCUAAAUUGCUUUUGGCGGAUCCUGAAAUUUAUUUAUGAUGUCUGUCGAGAAGUCUGGCUGAUUAAUUAGCUAUGUGCAACGGGAGAAGUCUGUUUAAUCCAAAUUACUGUUGUUUGAUCGAAGUAUAUAUGUACUUGAGUUGUUGUGAGCUAUAGUGGUAGCAAGAUGUUUUAAUGUCUGCUUGGGAACUGUUGUUUGUACUAGUGGUAAUAGGUGCAAAAUGAUAUUAUCUGCAAUGACUUUUGUUGGAGUAAGUGCCUGUAUAGUUCCUUUCAACUUUAAAGUUAUUGUACAAGAUCAUAUAAGAUGUCCAUGGUAGCUGUGUAUCGAAAUAUAGGACUGCAGAAGCAAUAAAAAUAUAUAACAUGUGAAGUUCUUUUUAUGAAAAUUAUUCUGUAAGAUCUCUCUGGUUCAUUUCUUUAGCAUCUUUUCUCAAUCUCUUGAGCUCCCCAUCAAGAUCUUUACACUCAUCAGCAUUUUCGUACAAAUGUGUUCUUGCUUUGCUUAGCUGUAGUAGUUUUUCUGCUUAACUCUCCUUGUAUUUUGGUUUAACCAGUUGUACAGCUACAACAUUUAAGUACUGUGUACACUUGCUCCAUUUGAUACCUUGCACUACUUGUACACCACUUCUAUUCUUUCUGGUACUUUAAUGAUACCUUGCUCUACUUGUACACCGCUUCUAAACUUUCAGUUACACAUACGCGCGCUCAUAAGCAUGAUACGUUUGGUGGAAUAAUUUUAGUUACACAGUAGUUUGCUCUUGACUCCACAAUCAUGUGUGUGUGUUUAAGAUUUGAGGUACGGCUCACGGCUGGUAUGCGUGAACUUAAUUGCUGUUUUUGUGGUGCAUGACGCGAUGAACUGCGGUCGUGCCGGCUCAACUGUGCGAGGUUGUUCAUAUCGUCGGAAAAGAGUUGGUUACUGCGUGGCAGUUCAUACCAUCUGUUCAGAGAUGAUUGCAACCGUGGAAGUACAUCGUGGGUAAGAGGUGAAAAACGCCAAUGUGGCUGCGAGCUGAUAUCUGCUGGAUCCCUUCAAGUCUGGUAAGAAGCUGAUCACGGCCGCAGCUGAGGAGGCGGCUGCUAGAGCGAGAAAAGAGAGAACCUGCAAUUAGUUUAGUUGAAGAAGCUGGAAUCCAGCAAGAUCAUACACUUGUGCAAUCGCCAACAUAAGACUCCAGGGGGUCAAUAAGCUCAUUAUUACCAUCAAAAAGCUGUCACAUUGAAUUUCAUGGUUACAUAAUGCAAACAUGAACACACUAAAAUUAUAGCUAUUGGAUUUCGGCACAUAUGAAAAGCU